ACAGAGGGAGCAAGCUGGAAAGGAUGUGCAGCACAAUAGGGUGAUAAAGGAUGUAGAUGGUGAUGUGCUCACAAGUGAGGAAAGUGUGUUGAGAAGGUGGAGGGAUUAUUUU